rnacentral:misc_RNA from 1 species
GUGAGUCAUCGAAUCUUUGAACGCACAUUGCGCCUCCCGUUGGGGAGGCAUGCCUGUCUGAGCGUCGUUUAAACCAAUAAACCUCUUUGGGUUUGUGUUGAGCCUUGCCCUCAUGGGCAUCGCUUUGAAGCCAUCGGUCUCUAUGAAGUGGGCUGGUUCCCUUAGGACAUGGCCAUUUUCGAGACCCGAAACUCUUUGAACUUUCGACCUCAGAUCAGGUAGGGACACCGCCUGAACUUAAGCAUAUCAAUAAGCGGAGGA